UACAGAGGGGGCAAGCGUUGUUCGGAAUUACUGGGCGUAAAGGGCGCGUAGGCGGCCUGUUAAGUCGAACGUGAAAUCCCCGGGCUCAACCCGGGAACUGCGUCCGAAACUGGCAGGCUUGAAUCCGGGAGAGGGAUGUGGAAUUCCAGGUGUAGCGGUGAAAUGCGUAGAUAUCAUUUGGAACGCCAAUGGUGAAAACAGCUCGCUGGGGGUUUGCUGACGCUGAGACACGAAAGCCAGGGGAGCAAACGGG
rnacentral:rRNA from 1 species